rnacentral:rRNA from 1 species
UGGCAAACGGGUGCGUAACGCGUAAGCAACCUGCCCACAACCGGGGGAUAGCCUGGCGAAAGCCGGGGUAAACCCCCAUAGUUUCCUUGCUUCACCUGGGGUGAGGGGUAAACAUUCAUGGGUUGUGGAGGGGCUUGCGUCUGAUUAGGUAGUUGGUGGGGUAGUGGCCCACCAAGCCAUUGAUCAGUAGGGGUUCUGAGAGGAUUGGCCCCCACAUGGGUACUGAGAUACGGACCCAACUCCUACGGGAGGCAGCAGUAGGGAAUAUUGGGCAAUGGGCGCAAGCCUGACCCAGCCAUGCCGCGUGGAGGAUGAAGGCGCUCAGCGUCGUAAACUUCUUUUAUCUACGAAGAACAGUAGUCCUGCGGGGUUAUGUGACGGUAGUAGAGGAAUAAGCACCGGCUAACUCCGUGCCAGCAGCCGCGGUAAUACGGAGGGUGCAAGCGUUGUCCGGAUUUAUUGGGUUUAAAGGGUGCGUAGGUGGCGUCUUAAGUCUGGUUUGAAAGCAGGCGGCUCAACCGUCUGAUGUGGCUGGAAAC